rnacentral:rRNA from 1 species
CCCUUAGAUGUUCUGGGCCGCACGCGCGCUACACUGAUGCAUUCAACAAGCCUAGCCUUGACCGAGAGGUCCGGGUAAUCUUUGAAACUGCAUCGUGAUGGGGCUAGAUUAUUGCAAUUAUUAAUCUUCAACGAGGAAUGCCUAGUAAGCGUGAUUCAUCAAAUCGCGUUGAUUACGUCCCUGCCCUUUGUACACACCGCCCGUCGCUCCUACCGAUUGAAUGUGUUGGUGAGGAGCUCGGAUUGGCAGCAGUUGGUGGUUCGCCACCGGCUAUUGCUGAGAAGGCCUCCAAACCGCCCCAUUUAGAGGAAGGAGAAGUCGUAACA